UUUGUUCAUUCAUGCAUUUGUUUAUUUGUUCUGACAUUUCUGCAUUGCUCAGCCGGGUUUUCGACGAGAACACAAAGCUAUUGAACAGGAAGCGGACGAGGGAGACUGCUGCCUUAAUUGUUUUCAUGACUGGCACGACAGGCGGUGCUCUCCUUGCCAUGCGUUAAUGAUCUAACGAGAAUCCCUACCUAUCGUUUAUCUGCCUAUCAAGCUAAAAGCUAGCUAUCUCCCUACCUAUCGUUUAGCUACCUAUGAAGGUAAUAGCUAUCUGUCUGCUGUCAUUUUGUAUUUAAGGGCACUCUAUAUCUGAGUAUUGUCUAUCUGUGGUGUCUGGGCAGAUGUGAAAUCUCUAUCUAAUUAUGUAUAAGACUUAAUGAGGUCUGUUAUUUGUAAUGGUCUUCAUGAUAUUUGUAAUGUAAGAUCUCUAUCUUGCAUGAUAUUUGUAAUGGUCUUGGUGAUCUGGUUCUGAAUGGGUAACUCCUAUCACACAUAAAACACAUUUUUGUCUGUUCCACCUUGUGAGGGUGGGAAAACUAAAACCAAAUUGCUCCCUUGGUCUGUUAUUCAUUCUUGUUUCCUGCAGCUCCACUCAACUUCAUCAUUAUAAGCUGUGCUCCUAUUCCCCUUUAAUCCCUCGUCGGUAAUUUUCGAACAACAAUUCCCAAACAAGUUGGGGUAGGCUAGCGAGUAUGAAAUUUUUCAAGAAGAUGAAUCUAGCUGGCCUUGUGGCCAUUCUGUCGACGAUAUUGCGGAGGACUUGCCAAGGUUGUUGUCGUUGCGGAGGACUUGCCAAAGUUGUGCGUCGUCGCGGAGGACUUGACAAGGUUGUCAUGCAGACGUGAUGCCGUGCCAGAAAUUUCGAGAGCUUCCCUGGUGAAACUUAGGUUUGCAACAGUCCUUCUCACAGGAAGCUCUUGCGCUUCAACAAUUGCAUUCCUUAGCGACUGCACUUAUUAGCUCACGUGAGCAUCUAACCAUGCGUACACACACAUGCUUCUAUACCAUAAAUCCAACGUCCACCUACAUGUAACGCCCUUACUCACUCCAGGAUAGAAGGGAAGAGUGAUUGGAGAGGGACAUUUGGGAUUCAGGAGUAGUCGAGAGAUACAGGGAGAGUUCAGAGUCCUCAUACAAUAUAGUCGAAAUCGUCUCCUCUAUUUGGCUUACCUACUACUAAGGCUACCGGGCUUGUCGUUGCUGGUGCUUGAUGCAGCCGAACUGGAGGCCCGGUGGUCAGGAUAGGUCGUUUGGCCCACAACACUACAUUAAUAUUACCUCGUCAUUGUUACAAGUCAGAAAUGUCUAGCUGCGGUUUUGUAGGCACUAGAACAGUGCAGCAACAGAUUUUUUUUAGGGUAUCUUGAGAUGGUAUUUCUAUAAAUAUUAUAUUACGGCCCUGUUCGGCAGCCGUCCACUGCCCGCUUUCCAACUCCCAGCUCCAUCCAGCAGCGGAGCGCACGGAGCGGCACUUUUGCAACUCCAAAAAGUGGCAUGCCUUCUUCUCUUAAUAGAUGAUACGCACACUCGUGCGUAUUCGAGAAAAAAAAAGUGGCAUGCAAACCGCCCCGCUCCGCUGUGGGAGAGGCACGAAGCCAACGCGUUCGGCGCACUCCGCAGCUACUCCAACCGCUCCAGGAGCUGAGCUGCGGAGCGGAGGCCUGCCGAACAGGCACUAUAUCACCAAUCAAGAAAAAAAAAGGAAGAGUCGCAACUCGCAAGACGAGUGGGAGUUCGCAUCUGGAAAAGAAGCAGGCUUGGGCUAUCCAUGCGACCAGACAUGCAACAUACUAUUAAAGAAGAACCGAAGAGAAAGCAGAUUGUGAAGAUUAAGCCGUUAAUUCAAUUUGGUGCCCGGGUUCAUUUACACCCGAUGAACAAUACAAUCAAAAUAAAAUAUAAAAAAUAAACUUUUCUCCAUGCAAGAUUCUUGAGUGCACCAGGUGUGUGCAAAAAUUCGUGGGCAAACAACAUUCGAGAACCUCGUGCCAAAAAAGACAAAAUCAGCUAUGAACAGUGUUUUUGUUAAAAAAACUUCUUCACAGGCUUGAAAUUUGUCUUUUUGCCAUGAACUCCUAAAAUGUCCAAACUCCAUCAAAUUUGGUACCAACAAUACACGUACGUAAAAGCUAAAUUUUCUUUCCGUAAUAUUCCUAACUAACCUCAAAUGCAUCACACAUUCGACCAUAUUGCACCACAAAAAAAAAACA
rnacentral:lncRNA from 1 species